UACGUAGGGCGCGAGCGUUGUCCGGAAUCAUUGGGCGUAAAGAGCUCGUAGGCGGCCUUGUCAGUCAGGCGUGAAAGCCCCGGGCUCAACCUGGGAACGGCGCUUGGGACGGCGAGGCUGGAGUUCGGGAGAGGAGAGUGGAAUUCCCAGUGUAGAGGUGAAAUUCGUAGAUAUUGGGAAGAACACCGGUGGCGAAGGCGGCUCUCUGGACCGACACUGACGCUGAGGCGCGAAAGCGUGGGGAGCAAACAGG
rnacentral:rRNA from 1 species